AAAUAGAUGACAAGAGGGUGCCCAACACACAAGGGGAAUUACAGAAUGCAUCCCCUAAGCAAAGGAAGCAGAGUGUGUACACACCACCCACCAUAAAAGGGGUUAAGCAUCUGAAAGGCCAGAAUGAUUCAGCGUUCCCUGAAGAAGAAGAAGGCACCAAUGAAAGAGAGGAGCAGCGGGACCAUUAAUUACUGGUCUGCAGCAAGAAGGCUUCUUGGAAAUAACUGAACUAUUAACUUUUCUGAGUAUACCAUGGAAUUCCACUGCUUGGCUUCCAGAAGCAUCCUCCAUCUCUGCACCCUGCACUCAUACAGUAGCUAUGCACAUCCUGGAAGUCUCCUUGACUGAACUUUAGAACUAAGUACACAUAGUUCCACAUCACUUACAAUUAAAGAAUAAGCAUU
rnacentral:sRNA from 1 species